ACGUACACUCCUGCGGGAGGCAGCAGUGGGGAAUAUUGGACAAUGGGCGCAAGCCUGCUCCAGCCAUGCCGCGUGAGUGAUGAAGGCCCUAGGGUUGUAAAGCUCUUUCACCGGUGAAGAUAAUGACGGUAACCGGAGAAGAAGCCCCGGCUAACUUCGUGCCAGCAGCCGCGGUAAUACGAAGGGGGCUAGCGUUGUUCGGAUUUACUGGGCGUAAAGCGCACGUAGGCGGACUAUUAAGUCAGGGGUGAAAUCCCGGGGCUCAACCCCGGAACUGCCUUUGAUACUGGUAGUCUUGAGUUCGAGAGAGGUGAGUGGAAUUCCGAGUGUAGAGGUGAAAUUCGUAGAUAUUCGGAGGAACACCAGUGGCGAAGGCGGCUCACUGGCUCGAUACUGACGCUGAGGUGCGAAAGCGUGGGGAGCAAACAGGAUUAGAAACCCCUGUAGUCCCAUGAU
rnacentral:rRNA from 1 species